AAACAGCAUGCAAGUGGACACAGUUGUCUGUGCUUUUGUUCUACUGCUGAGACAAAUUCAAACUCAAGAAACUCAGCAUGUAAGUUUUAUCACGGGGACGGAUGUGUCUCUACAAUGUUUGAACUGGACAGUUAAGGAACNNNNNNNNNNNNNNNNNNNNNNNNNNNNNNNNNNNNNNNNNNNNNNNNNNNNNNNNNNNNNNNNNNNNNNNNNNNNNNNNNNNNNNNNNNNNNNNNNNNNUGAUAACAAUACUGUAAACAGCAGGUGUGGUGAUUCCAGAAUAACAAUAAUGAAGAAGCACGACAGUCACUUUCUUCACAUAUCACACUUUCAGAGUUCUGAUGAAGGGAGUUACAGGUGUGAGAUUGUUGAGCCUAAUGGGACGCAUAAGAUGUAUUUUAACGUAUCUGCACAGGGUAAUGAAAGUGAGGGAAUAGUAUCCAGUGAAGCCAGUUUGAACAAAAUAUUGGGGAUAUGUGCUUCUGCUGGAGUUAUAAGUGUUGCAUUGAUUUUAGUCAUAAUUUUCAUGACAAGUAUAAAAUAUAAAAUCAGGAACCGCAGCAAGAGAAAGAACCCUGCAUUUUACAGCAAAGAGGUAAUUAACUUUUAACAUGAUAAAUUCAUGCAAGGAGGAAAAAUGCUUUUACAUCCCAUUCAAAAGAAGGAUAUUUUAGAGAUAAAUCUCUUUUAUACUCAUUGCUUGAGACAUGCAUUUUGAAGAGCACAUGGGCAAUUAACUCUUGCAGUUAAACACCUAUCUGACAUCUAUUUCCAACCAAACCCCAGUACAGGAUAUUGCACUCAAAGAUUUCUUUUGAAAUGUGAAUAAGAAUAAUGUGAGAAAGUUCCUACUGUAUAUGCUUUUGACUAAUAUGUCCAAAUUUUAUAAUGUAAUUAUAAAAUGUAGUUACAUUUUAACUAUUGCUGCAGUCUGCUGUUAAAAUAAUUUGAACCUUAAUAAAGAUAUUGUCAUCAUUUCUCAUCUGAUUAUUCUGCUUGCAGAACAUUGCUCACACUUUAAAGAACCUUACUUUGGCUGAAUGACUACAGAACCCUAGCUAGCACUCAUGGGGGUGUUACAUGUGUAUUUAUCUACCUAAUAGAUUUAUUGGACCUAUAUUGUGAUUUUAAUAUAAUAGCCAGACACUAUAAAAUUGCAGAACAAUCCAUACUUAAUUACAAUUACUGGGAUUCUGAUUGGAAUUACUGGCAGUGCAAAAUAUAAUUGAUUAUAUGUGAAGAUACAGAACCAAGCAAUGAGAAAUAUAUAUUUUAGUCUGAAUUUACAUAUUUAUAUGGGUUUCACGUGCAAUUCAAAAAUAUAGUUACCAUUAACUGUUUUUAUUGUUUGGUGGAAGUCUAUAGCAAGCAUUUUGUCACAUCACAACUUUCAACAGUUUUCAAAUACGUUCAUGAAUUUUGAAUAAUAUUAUUCUCUUGACUUUCCCUUCUCUGAUGUCUGCAUGCACUUGUCAUUGACAUUUUUGGUUAUUCAUAGCCCAUGUAUUCUGACACCCACACAGCACUAAACGAACAUAGCCUCCAGAGCAGGUGAUAAUGUUAUACUUGUGAACAAGAUGUCUCCUGUUAAUGAUCAGUAAUCUAGUGCUAAGUAUGAGUAUCUUUGAAUAUGAGAACAUAUGAAACAGCUGCAUGAACCCAUGAUCAUUAUAUACUGUAUGACAAUUAAUCUGCAGGUUUCAGAUAGGUAUUGAAGGUACUUAUUACAAGUUGAGCAAUAUCUUCAGCUCCCAAGGUAACUUUUCUGGAUAUACUGUCCUUAAAGUUGCAAAUAUAACACUCCUUUCUGCACUAGUAAAAUAACUUACAAAUACAUACAGUAUAUAAAGUCACAACUAUGAUAAUGUGCUCUGCUGAAGGCUUAUGACUGUUUUGGCAAAAUCUCUGUCUUUAAAGCCAGCAUUGACUUUAUACAAGUAACAUGGUUGAACAUGUCUGUGCUAAAGGUCUUGAGCACUCAAGUUAAAGACAUUUAGUAAUCUUUACAUCUCAACAAAUUAUGUUUUUUCUUCUAUUUUUUGCAGGAUCUGCAUGACUUUGAACCAUAUUCUGUAUAUAUGGAAAAGACCAAUACAAUUUAUAACUUAUAAACUGGGGUGAGAUUGAGGACAGUUCUGUGACAUAGUGCAGGUCAAAUAUAGAGACUUGCAUGUAUUAAUGGCUUUACUGUUGUUUUGCUCUUAAUAUUGGACAAAGAUAGAAAAUGUAAAUUUUUUAUUAAAUAUGUGGAAAGGUUUUUUGAAAUAUCGAGAACUCUCUUGAAUAACUAGUAAAUAUGUAAUGCAAUUACUACUUUGUGUAUGUCACAGAAGAUAAGACAUUUCCAUUAAGUAUCUCAUUUUAAAUCAUCACUCACUGCUGUGUAUACCAGAUCCUUGGUGGCCCUGUGCUGAAAAUUUGAGUUUGAGCCCCCAGCCGAAUAGUAUUUCACUCUUAUUUUUCCCUCAAGGGACUUUCUAACAAAUAUAUAAUUGGUAAAACUCAUUUGUAUCUCAUAAAUUGAUUUCCACUCUCUGUGUCAUCAUACACUUCAACAUACUGUAUUUUUAUCAGACCAAACCUCUCAAGAUCAGCUACUGGAUUUGGUUGCAAUCUUUUCAGUUUGCCCCUGCCAGGGACCGGAACAACCUGAAGAGAAAGCCAGAGCUUUCAUACCAGUGGUCAUUUUUGGUUGUGAUUAAAUCUUUCCUGGCAUGUACAGCAGCACCAGCAGUGAUAGGUGCAACGGGCCAUGAUGUAAGGUGUGAGUAGGCUGGGCUGAAGUCAUAGGUUUUCAGUCUGGAUUUAAAUCUUGAGAUUGAUUCAGAGUCCUAUACGUAGGCUGGCAGACUGUUCCAUAAACUAGGGGCCCUGUAGCUAAAGACUUUACUGCCAACUGUUUUUUAUUAAUAUGUGUAAUAAGAAGAAGACCUGCAUCUGUGAUCUAAGUGGUCAACUUGGAUUGUAUACAUUUAUCAGCUCCAUUGUACCUAACAGGAAGCCAUAGGAGAGAGCUAAGUAUAGGUGUUAUGUGGUCAUACUUUCUACUCCUAGUAACAAUUCUAGCUGCCGUGUUUUGAAUUCGCUGUAAGGUGUUGAAAAGUGCAAUAGGUGCUCCCUGAUAGUAGGGCAUUACAGUAAUCUAAUCUGCUGUAUAUAAAAGUAUGUAUUAGUUUCUCUGUGUCUUGAGUGGAGAGGAAAUGCCUUGGUUUUGCAAUAUUUCUUAGCUAUAGGAAGCAUGCCUUCGAUUCUGCAUUAACAUGAGAGUUAAAUGAGAGCCUUGUGUCUAAGAUGAGGCUAUAGCAGUCCUAUCAGCACGGUUGCCUACAAACAACAGAACCUCACUUUUAUCAGAGUUGAGUGACAAACUCUUUUCACACAUCCAAAACUUUACUUCAUUGAUGCAAUUAGCUAAAGUGACAAUUGAUGAGUUGUCAUUAGGUGUAAAUGAAAUGUAUAUUUAAGUGUCAUCAGCAUAUGAAUGAAAGUUAAUAUUAUGCAUUCGUAUUAUCCUACCUAGCGACAAAAUGCACAGAGAGAACAAUACUGAUCUGAGCACUGAUCCCUGCGGUGCUCCAAAUUUUACUGGUGACAGUGACGAAGCAGUAGAAUUAUUAGAUAUUUGAACAUAGUGAAAAUGGUUAGUUAAAUAGGAGGUAAACCACUUAAGGAUGGUUCCAGAUACAGUAGGCCAACCUCAGACUCAAGCCUGUGUAAUAAAAUACAAUGGUCAACCAUGUCAAAGGCAGACCCAGAAAACACAAGCACUGUUGCAUUCCCUGCGUCAGUUGCUAACAGAAUAUAAUUUCGAACUCUUGUUAAUGCAGUUUCAGUACUGUAGCCUUGGCCGAAACCAGAUUGGAAUUUCUCAAGUAUAUUAUUUGAAUCCAGAUAUGACUGAAGUUGGGCCACAAGCAUUCUCUCAAGAAUUUUAGAUAGAAAUGGAACAUUUGAGACAGGUCUGUAGUUGUUAAGAACUUGUGAAUCCAAAUUUGGUGUCUUAAGCAGCGGUCUAACCACCAUUACCUUAAAUUGAUCAGGUACAACGCCCGAUGCAAGGGACAUGUUCAUCAUACUAAAUAUAGGUCCUGCAAGUACGUCGAGGGAAUCCUUAACUAGUUUGGUGGCAAUGGGAUCUAGCGGACAGGUGGUUGAUUUUGUCUUAAUAAUUAAUUUCUUUAGUUCUUGUUCAAUAACUAAUUGAAAAACAUUGAAAAGAUGGGCACGUUGCUUUUGCACCAGACUUCAUUGUAGCCUGUUUGAUUGUAUUUGAAGUCUGAUGUUGUUAAUUUUAUUGUUAAAGAAGUCCAUGAAAUUGUCACUACUAAAGUUAGCUGGUACGGUUGAAUCGGCCUUAUUUGUUAGAUUAGCUAUUGCCCUUAAUAGGUAGUGAGGGUUAUUUUUAUUGAUUUCUAUAAGUUCAGAGUAGGAAGCUGAACGAGCUUUCAUAUAGGGCUUUCUUAUAUUGUUGCAGGCUAUCAGUCCAUGCCGACUGGAAUACUUGCAAACCAGUGGCCUUCCAUUUGCGCUCUAGCUUGCAGCACUCCUGUUUAAGGGAUCAUGUGUGAUAAUUACACCAUGGAGAGUGUCUAGUGGUUCUGACUACUGAAGUAAGAGACAAGAUGUAAAAAGGGUUAACUUAAGUCAGUUCUGCCUGAAAAUUAGACUUCUAAGCAACAGGGGUUUAUGGCAGGAAAGGGGGUUAACUGAUAAGGAUUCCAGAUGCGAGCUAGGAACCCCCUGGGGGCGUAAUCUUAAACUGAUCAUUUGGUCAGGGUCUCUUAACUGGCCAAAUACCAUGACCCCCCCUUACCAUAACACCGAAUGACAUCCGAAGCAGCAAAGAAGGAUUAAAUAACCUAAAACUUUGUACCGGCACAUCGAACAAUACUUCGGUUUUGUUGUUUCUUGCGGGAAACAAGACUUCGGCUUUCUUGUUCCUUGCAUGCAAUAAACUAAUCUGUUUUACUUCAUCUCGGGAUCCAGAACCUUAUUCUUUCUGUUACAACACUACCUUAGUCUUUUAAUGGGGCUAUUUAAUCGAAUAAAGAAUUAUAGUUCUUAUUUUCCAAAGCCUAUAAGAUCUAGCUUAAAGCCAGCAGUUACAGAUCAUAUCACACAUGGAUAUCCUAUGGGGACAAUGUAGAUGUUAGGGAAUUAUUAAAAUAAUUAAUUACAACAUUCACAGGCCUUUCUACCUUAAGGUCUAGAUGUGGG
rnacentral:lncRNA from 1 species